UACGUAGGUGGCAAGCGUUAUCCGGAUUUAUUGGGCGUAAAGGGAACGCAGGCGGUCUUUUAAGUCUGAUGUGAAAGCCUUCGGCUUAACCGGAGUAGUGCAUUGGAAACUGGGAGACUUGAGUGCAGAAGAGGAGAGUGGAACUCCAUGUGUGGCGGUGAAAUGCGUAGAUAUAUGGAAGAACACCAGUGGCGAAAGCGGCUCUCUGGUCUGUAACUGACGCUGAGGUUCGAAAGCGUGGGUAGCAAACAGG
rnacentral:rRNA from 1 species